GCGCACCAGGCGAGAAACCUUCGCAAUGCGGGAAACCGCGACGAGGGGACUCCCAGUGCCUACGCUCAGCGUAGGCUGUUCCCGAGCCUAGAAAGCUCGGGGAGUAAGGGCUGGGUAAGACGGGUGCCAGCCGCCGCGGUAAUACCCGCAGCCCGAGUGGUGGCCACUAUUAUUGGGCCUAAAGCGUCCGUAGCCGGCCCGGUAAGUGCCUGGGUAAAUCGUGAGGCCUAACCUCACGAAUUCCGGGUAGAUUGCCGGGCUAGGGACCGGAGGAGGGAGAGGGUACUCCAGGGGUAGGGGUGAAAUCCUGUAAUCCCUGGAGGACCACCGGUGGCGAAGGCGCUCUCCUAGGACGGGUCCGACGGUGAGGGACGAAAGCCAGGGGAGCGAACCGGAUUAGAUACCCCCGUAGU
rnacentral:rRNA from 1 species